rnacentral:ncRNA from 2 species
GAAUUAUAAAGAGGAGUAGAGAGAACGGGCUCAUAGAAACUCCGGCAACCUGCGAAAAUUCGAAAGGUGCCAAAACCCGACCUGAAAGCAGGAGUUAUAAUUU